rnacentral:misc_RNA from 1 species
UUAUUAGAUUAUAAUAAGACUACGUUUGUUACUUUAAUGUUUGUAUAAAAUGGGCAGGCGCUCUAAUCACUUUCGUUUUCAAGACAGUCUUACAGUUCACAGGUGUUAGGAUGUGAUUUAAGCAAGGGCCUUGCCGAAGCGAAGACACCAAGCAUGUUUAAUUCACUAAUGAUCCUUCCGCAGGUUCACCUACGGAAA